rnacentral:rRNA from 1 species
UGCCACAGCCACAUUACCCUGCAGCCCAAGACUGGUUGCCCACUAAAGCUAAGCAGGGUUGAGCCUGGUCAGUACCUGGAUGGGAGACCUCCUGGGAAAACUAGGUUGCUGUUGGAA